AAGUCGAACGGUAACAUUUCUAGCUUGCUAGAAGAUGACGAGUGGCGGACGGGUGAGUAAUGCUUGGGAACUUGCCUUUGCGAGGGGGAUAACAGUUGGAAACGACUGCUAAUACCGCAUAAUGUCUUCGGACCAAACGGGGCUUCGGCUCCGGCGCAAAGAGAGGCCCAAGUGAGAUUAGCUAGUUGGUAAGGUAACGGCUUACCAAGGCGACGAUCUCUAGCUGUUCUGAGAGGAAGAUCAGCCACACUGGGACUGAGACACGGCCCAGACUCCUACGGGAGGCAGCAGUGGGGAAUAUUGCACAAUGGGGGAAACCCUGAUGCAGCCAUGCCGCGUGUGUGAAGAAGGCCUUCGGGUUGUAAAGCACUUUCAGUUGUGAGGAAAAGUUAGUAGUUAAUACCUGCUAGCCGUGACGUUAACAACAGAAGAAGCACCGGCUAACUCCGUGCCAGCAGCCGCGGUAAUACGGAGGGUGCGAGCGUUAAUCGGAAUUACUGGGCGUAAAGCGCGCGUAGGUGGCUUGAUAAGCCGGUUGUGAAAGCCCCGGGCUCAACCUGGGAACGGCAUCCGGAACUGUCAGGCUAGAGUGCAGGAGAGGAAGGUAGAAUUCCCGGUGUAGCGGUGAAAUGCGUAGAGAUCGGGAGGAAUACCAGUGGCGAAGGCGGCCUUCUGGACUGACACUGACACUGAGGUGCGAAAGCGUGGGUAGCAAACAGGAUUAGAUACCCUGGUAGUCCACGCCGUAAACGAUGUCGACCAGCCGUUGGGUGCCUAGCGCACUUUGUGGCGAAGUUAACGCGAUAAGUCGACCGCCUGGGGAGUACGGCCGCAAGGUUAAAACUCAAAUGAAUUGACGGGGGCCCGCACAAGCGGUGGAGCAUGUGGUUUAAUUCGAUGCAACGCGAAGAACCUUACCUACUCUUGACAUCCUGCGAAUUUGGUAGAGAUACCUUAGUGCCUUCGGGAACGCAAAGACAGGUGCUGCAUGCUGUCGUCAGCUCGUGUUGUGAAUGUGGGUUAAGUCCCGUAACGAGCGCAACCUUGUCUUAUUUGCCAGCGCGUAAUGGCGGUAACUCUAGGAACUGCGUGACAACGGAGGUAGGUGGGACGGACGUCAGUCAUCAUGCCCUUACGAGUAGGGCUACAC
rnacentral:rRNA from 1 species